GCGCUGAAGAGAUUUACUCAUUAGGUAUUGAAAUUUGGUAUUGAAUGACGAGCCAUUUUUGUUACUCAAUACUAAGGAGGCAAUUCAGACAGUGCCUAAAAAGUACUGAAUUUGGUACCCAGCAGUAGUUU